rnacentral:misc_RNA from 1 species
UGUCUGUCAAAUCUUCAGUACUUAUGAUUUCAAGGCUAUUCACAAAGGAUUGAAAAUAAAUUUAAUUUUGACUUUGUCUAGGAAUGAAGCCACAAACAAACAUUAUCUAAAAGAAUUUGAUAACUUAGUCUAGGUCACUUCUCUGUUUAAUCUAGAUCAAUGAGCAACUUUCGAUAACCUUGUACCAAUUUAUUUUCCCUGCAAUCACAAUGAAAAAAUCCUUUCUGAAUUACUAAAUACCAAUCCAUUUUGGAGUACCACAUCAGCUCACAAAUUUGACUUAACCAAACCAUGAUGUCUCUGUCGACACGAAAUGAUAAAAGAAGCAAUAAUGAAUCUUUGGCAUUGUGCUAAAAUAUUGGCUAACACAGAGGUAUCCUUUAUCACUAUCAGAGAAGGAUGAACAGAAUAGACAACGUUAGAUCUGUUAUAACAGGCACACAGAUCUAAGGAGUAUAGAGAAAAGAAGAAAAAUGAAACAAAAUUUACAUGAUUCGACUCUAAUGUUUACAUCUAUGGGCAAGACAUGAGAGAAAAAAAAUCAACUAUGAUGAAAAAAGAAACAUAUAAUCACGUAGAACUCUCUAAACUCCAACCCUAGUAGGUUUUCCCAAACUCUCACAAUACUGCCGAAAUAGGCAGAUAACGUGUCCUUAGCUACCACCAGAGUCACAAAAAUAUUCUAUUCAAGUCACAAUGCAGGCUUGUCAGACAGGGUCAAAAUUUUCCAAACCCUAACCCCAUUAGGUUUUCCCAAACUCUCAGAAUACUGCCGAAUAGGCAGAUAACAUGUCCUUAGCUACCACCAGACCUCACAAAAAAAUUCUAUUCAAGUCACAAUGCAGGCUUGUCAGACAGGGUCAAAAUUUUCCAAACCCUAACCCCAUUAGGUUUUCCCAAACUCUCAGAAUACUGCCGAAUAGGCAGAUAACAUGUCCUUAGCUACCACCAGACC